rnacentral:rRNA from 1 species
AACGAACGCUGGCGGCAGGCCUAGCACAUGCAAGUCGAGCGGGGGAGCAAUCCCUAGCGGCGGACGGGUGAGUAACGCGUGGGAACGUGCCCUUUGGUACGGAAUAGCCCUGGGAAACUGGGAGUAAUACCAUAUGAGCUCUUCGGAGGAAAGAUUUAUCGCCAAAGGAUCGGCCCGCGUUGGAUUAGGUAGUUGGUGGGGUAAUGGCCUACCAAGCCGACGAUCCAUAGCUGGUUUGAGAGGAUGAUCAGCCACACUGGGACUGAGACACGGUCCAGACUCCUACGGGAGGCAGCAGUGGGGAAUCUUAGACAAUGGGCGCAAGCCUGAUCUAGCCAUGCCGCGUGAGCGAUGAAGGCCUUAGGGUUGUAAAGCUCUUUCGUGGGGGAAGAUAAUGACUGUACCCCAAGAAGAAGCCCCGGCUAACUUCGUGCCAGCAGCCGCCGCGGUAA